GGGGGCGCACAGGUUUCGACUGUGGUGUAAGGAACCUAAAGCGCAUGUCGAGGAGCUCAGGCCUCGUAAAAAAGAGCACCUAUUUAAAUGCCGAUGAAGCAUUACCAGUAGCAGCGUAAAACCUGUUACCGUCUCUUCCUGUCCCCCCCUGGGAUGGGGGGAAGACGUCAGACUUCAGGGGUAGCUGCGGAGCCUUUUUCUGGAGGGUUUCGCGGUGAAUCUUUUCCAGGAUAGGUUCUUGAUGGCUGCCUGAAGGCCAGAGAGAACCGAACCCUAAACUUCAGGACAAGCAUGUAGUGGUUUAGGCUACCUCUCUACAGGACGCGGGUUCGAUUCCCGCCGCCUCCACUA
rnacentral:tmRNA from 1 species